rnacentral:rRNA from 1 species
UACGGAGGGUGCAAGCGUUGUCCGGAUUUAUUGGGUUUAAAGGGUGCGUAGGCGGCCCUGUAAGUCAGUGGUGAAAUACUGCAGCUUAACUGUAGCAUUGCCAUUGAUACUGUAGGGCUUGAGUACAGAUGAGGUAGGCGGAAUUGAUGGUGUAGCGGUGAAAUGCAUAGAUACCAUCAAGAACACCGAUUGCGAAGGCAGCUUACUAAGCUGUAACUGACGCUGAGGCACGAAAGCGUGGGGAGCGAACAGG